rnacentral:rRNA from 1 species
GAUCCUGGCUCAAGAUGAACGCUGGCGGCGUGCUUAACACAUGCAAGUCGAGCGAAGCACUUAAGUUUGAUUCUUCGGAUGAAGACUUUUGUGACUGAGCGGCGGACGGGUGAGUAACGCGUGGGUAACCUGCCUCAUACAGGGGGAUAACAGUUAGAAAUGGCUGCUAAUACCGCAUAAGACCACGGUACUGCAUGGUACAGUGGUAAAAACUCCGGUGGUAUGAGAUGGACCCGCGU